rfam:Nicotiana attenuata strain TT chromosome 3, whole genome shotgun sequence.
CUGACAUGUGUGCAAGUCAACGGGCGAGUAAACCCGUAAGGCAUAAGGAAGCUGAUUGGUGGGAUCCCCCUGAGGGGUGCACCUCCGACCGACCUUGAUCUUCUGUGAAGGGUUCGAGUGUGAGCAUACCUGUCGGGACCCGAAAGAUGGUGAACUAUGCCUGAGCGGGGCGAAGCCAGAGGAAAUUCUUGUGGAGGCCCGCAGCGAUACUGACGUGCAAAUCGUUCAUCUGACUUGGGUAUAGGGGCGAAAGACUAAUCGAACCGUCUAGUAGCUGG